AUUGAACGCUAGCGGCAGGCCUAACAAAUGCAAGUCGAGCGGUAGCACAAGAGAGCUUGCUCCCCGGGUGACGAGCGGCAGACGGGUGAGUAAUGUCUGGGAAACUGCCUGAUGGAGGGGGAUCACUACUGGAAACAGUAGCUAAUACCGCAUAACGUCGUAAGACCAAAGCGGGGGACCUUCGGGCCUCACGCCACCAGAUGUGCCCAGAUGUGAUUAACUAGUAGGUGGGGUAAUGGCUCACCUAGGUGACGAUCCCUAGCUGGUCUGAGAAGAUGACCAGCCACAUUGGAACGGAGACACGGUCCAAGCCUCCUAGGGGAGGCAGCAGUGGGGAAUAUUGCACAAUGGGCGCAAGCCUGAGGCAGCCAUGCCGCGUGUGUAAAGAAGGCUUUCAAGUUGUAAAGCGCUUUCAGCGAUGAGGAAAGCAGCAAGGUUAUUAACCUUGCUGAUUGACGUUAUUCGCAGAAGAAGCACCGGCUAACUCCGUGCCAGCAGCCGCGGUAAUACAGAGGGUGCAAGCGUUAGUCGGAAUGACUGGCCGUAAAGCGCACGCAAGCGGUUUGUUAAGUUGGAUGUGCAAUCCCCCGGGCUUAACCUGGGAACUGCAUUCAACACUGGCAAGCUAGAGUCUCGUAGCUAGAGUCUCGUAGAGAGGUAUAAAAUUCCAGGUGUAGCGGUGAAAUAAGUAAAGAUCUGGAGGAACACCGGUGGCGAAGGCAGUCCCAUGGACGAAGACUGACGCUCAGGUGCGAAAGCGUGGGAAGCAAACAGGAUUAUAUACCCUGGUAAUCCACGAUGUAAACGAUGACGAUUUGGAGGUUGUGCCAUUGAGGCGUGGCUUCCAGAGCUAACGCGUUAGACCGACCGCCUGGGGCGAGUACAGCCGCAAGGUUAAAACGCAAAUGAAUUGACGGGGCCCGCACAAGCGGUGGAGCAUGUGGUUUAAUUCGAUGCAACACAGAAAUACGAAUGUGCCUUCGGGAACUCUGAGACAGGUGCUGAAUGGCUGUCGUCAGCUCGUGUUGUGAACUGUUGGGUUAAGUCCCGCAACGAGCGCAACCCUUAUCCUUUGUUGCCAGCGAUUCGUUCGAGAACUCAAAGGAGACUGCCAGUGAUAAACUGGAGGAAGAUAGGGAUGACGUCAAGUCAUCAUGGCCCUUACGAGUAAGGCUACACACGUGCUACAAUGGCGUAUACAAAGAGAAGCGACCUCGCGAGAGCAAGCAGACCUCAUAAAGUACGUCGUAGUAAAGAUUGUAGUCUGCAACUCGAUUCCAUGAAGGCGGAAUCGCUAGUAAUCGUAGAUAAGUAUGCUACGGUGGAUACGUUCCCGGGCCUUGUACACACCGCCCGUCACACCAUGGGGGUGGGUUGCAAAAGAAGUAGGUAGCUUAACCUUCGGGAGGGCGCUUACCACUUUGUAAUUCAUGACUGGG
rnacentral:rRNA from 2 species